AAAUUGAUGAGGAAGAAUGCUGAAACUCAUCCCUCCUUUAGUUAUAGCAUUUAAGCAGUAGGACCGUUUUGGCCUUUGCCUCGAUCAUACCUUGCAUAUUGCCGCAUAUAAAAGAAAAGGACAAAAUUUUCGGCGAGAGUUGCUUGGUGUCCAACGAACACAAAAUUAUUUUCGGAACAGACUCUUAACAUGCUCUUACCAAAAUAUAAGAUAAUGUUCCAAGUAUAUCCGGGCAAAGUCAGCAACUAUGUGAGCAUUUUCAAAUGCCUAGCAAAGUCAUUGCUCUUCCAUCUCUUAGAUAGGGGUGCAAGGGAAAAAUAUUUUGCAAAAAAAACUGUUGGUAAAGAGAAAAAUUCCGAAGAAUCGCAGAAAUUCCAAGGCAAAAUAUAAAAAUGUGAUAGGAGAAUUGAUGAAAAAAUGAAGUGAAUAAAAUGAAAUUGAACAAAAAAAAGCUAAAGCUAGAGAAAAAAAGUCAAACUUCUCGAAAAAUUCUUUGAUAAUAAA